rnacentral:rRNA from 1 species
GAGAGUUUGAUCCUGGCUCAGAUUGAACGCUGGCGGCAGGCCUAACACAUGCAAGUCGAGCGGUAGAGAGAAGCUUGCUUCUCUUGAGAGCGGCGGACGGGUGAGUAAUGCCUAGGAAUCUGCCUGGUAGUGGGGGAUAACGUUCGGAAACGGACGCUAAUACCGCAUACGUCCUACGGGAGAAAGCAGGGGACCUUCGGGCCUUGCGCUAUCAGAUGAGCCUAGGUCGGAUUAGCUAGUUGGUGGGGUAAUGGCUCACCAAGGCGACGAUCCGUAACUGGUCUGAGAGGAUGAUCAGUCACACUGGAACUGAGACACGGUCCAGACUCCUACGGGAGGCAGCAGUGGGGAAUAUUGGACAAUGGGCGAAAGCCUGAUCCAGCCAUGCCGCGUGUGUGAAGAAGGUCUUCGGAUUGUAAAGCACUUUAAGUUGGGAGGAAGGGCAGUAAAUUAAUACUUUGCUGUUUUGACGUUACCGACAGAAUAAGCACCGGCUAACUCUGUGCCAGCAGCCGCGGUAAUACAGAGGGUGCAAGCGUUAAUCGGAAUUACUGGGCGUAAAGCGCGCGUAGGUGGUUCGUUAAGUUGGAUG